rnacentral:lncRNA from 1 species
AAAAUUAUCCAUGAUAUUAAAACAAUUUCAUCACAAACCAAUCCAGGAUCCAAACUAACAUUUGAAGACACUGAAAACAUUCUAUCAAAUUCACAUCUAUAAAACCUGUGCAGUUUAUAAUCAUAUAUCACAUCACUCGAUAAUUCACAUUUAUGGCAACCCAAGCCAACUUGACAAAUAUGAACAACAUUUAUAAAUCCACAAGCUAAAUAAAUUAUACAAUUAGAACUCCAACUAUUCACCACAAGUUCAUAUCGUCAUAAAUUAGACUUAACAUUCCGAAAUUCCAAAUAAGAGAGAUCUUCUAACACUUUUAUACAGUAUAUCCAUUUCGAUUCAUCAACAACAUUUCAUUACAUACAAAAUAUACUUAUACAACAAUAGCAUAACAACCAACAAGACUUGCCCAUAAUUCUGAAUAGCUAUCCACUGCCUCAGCCCAAAUCAAACAUCUCAAAUGGUGACAAGCUGACCUGAAAGAUUUAUAUAACAACGGAAUGAGCUAAAAAGAGCUCAGCAAGUGACAAAGCAUAUUCAGAACAAAAGGAAUGGUUUCAAACAAGUAAGGUAUCAUAAUGCAAGGCAGAAUACAAGAAUUCUCAAGGAUACCAUUUCAUUAGAUACAAAAUCAUAUGUAUCAUGUCAUUCAAAACAUAUUUGAUUCAUAACAAAUGGAGCAUAGAGUAAUUGGAGCAUAUCAAUAGCGUACGAGAUGUUCU